rnacentral:lncRNA from 1 species
GAUAAAAGGAGGAAGGACAACAGAACUGACAGGAGAGGAGAGCAGAGCUUGGAACAGCACAGGAGCUGGAGCUUUUCAAAGAGGAAGCACAGAGCAGGUAGCAGGAGGCAGUUGUCAUGAUGAACUCUCUUGCACUUCCCUGUAAAGAUUGUACCUCCUGGCAGAGUCUUCUGCUCACAGCCUACCUUUUAACCUGCUGGCUGCUUCCCACUACUACCCAGGUCACCAUCGAAUCAGUGCCAUCCAUUGCUGUUGAAGGGGAAACAGUUCUUCUAUUUGUGCAUAGCCUGCCACCUAAUAUUCUUGCCUUUUACUGGUACAGAGGGGUCAGAGCUCUCAGGAGUUUUCAAAUUGCAGAAUAUGUGAUAGCUACCAAGUCUUGUGUGGAGGGACCUUCACACCGUGGUAGAGAGACAGUACUCAGCAAUGGAUCUCUGCUGAUCAAGAGUGUCACCAGACAAGACUCCGGACACUAUACUCUACAAAUAAUCACUACAAAUGCAAGACCUGAAAUAAUACGUGCAGAAUUCUUUGUACACAGUAAGUCAUUCAGAACGUGGAAGUAAGGCUUCAGACAAUCGAAGACCAGAAAGUGAACUACAGGCCAGGACCUUGAAGAAUCUAAGACAAAAGUUGGACAUGUGCUUUUCUUCUACUGAUACUAUCUAUUACAAAUAAAUGGCUUUCUGCUUACCAGUAU